CUGUGUGUUUACAGGUAGUUGCAACAGCGGGAUUUUAUCUUAUUAGAAUGCAUUCGCCAAAAGCCACAAAAUACAGCUGAACGGAUUUCUACAAAUACCACAGGAGUCUCUUGCAUUUGGGAACUUUACAGUCCUAUUGGUCAAACAACCAUGAAACGGCUGAUCCACGGCAUCCAUGGGGGGACAGAUUGGCAGAGCUACAGGGCAGCAGCUGAGCAGACAGGGGUAGCUGAUCACUCCUUGAUACACUGGCUCACAGCACUCACGUGCAAUGCUUUCAAUUGCCCUGUAAAAGAUGCAGCAGCAGCUUCAUAGUAAUACAGAUGUGGGAUCUUAAAUUGAUCACUCUGUUGUUGCUGAGAAUCUUCCUGAGCCAUAGGAAAUGCAGUUUUCCCGGUGUUGACCUCUCUGCCUGCCCUGUCCCUGAG